CAGUUGAUCGCAUGGUCUUCUGGGAAAGCUUUCGCGGUAUGGGAUGGGGUCGCGUCCUAUCAGCUUGACGGCGGGGUAACGGCCCACCGUGGCUUCGACGGGUAGCCGGCCUGAGAGGGCGACCGGCCACAUUGGGACUGAGAUACGGCCCAGACUCCUACGGGAGGCAGCAGUGGGGAAUAUUGCACAAUGGGCGCAAGCCUGAUGCAGCGACGCCGCGUGAGGGAUGGAGGCCUUCGGGUUGUAAACCUCUUUUAUCGGGGAGCAAGCGAGAGUGAGUUUACCCGUUGAAUAAGCACCGGCUAACUACGUGCCAGCAGCCGCGGUAAUACGUAGGGUGCAAGCGUUAUCCGGAAUUAUUGGGCGUAAAGGGCUCGUAGGCGGUUCGUCGCGUCCGGUGUGAAAGUCCAUCGCUUAACGGUGGAUCCGCGCCGGGUACGGGCGGGCUUGAGUGCGGUAGGGGAGACUGGAAUUCCCGGUGUAACGGUGGAAUGUGUAGAUAUC
rnacentral:rRNA from 1 species